AGAAAACCUUCACACAGAGAUGGACUUUUAAUGUGGAAGGUUCACGUUAGUGUGUCACUUCUUGUCAGGUGUUGUCAGGUGUCUGCUCCUGUCAGAAAGCAUUCAAACGUUCACAAACUGACCUGAGCGACACGUUCGUGAAGCUGAAGGGUUAACUCUGCAGCCUCGGGGUCUGCCACACCCACAGGGGAGGGGGCUGUUGCUGUGACAACAGGGCAUGAAGGGCUGUUUGUGUUUGGAGACAGAGAGAGAGGGAGGGAGGGAGUCUGUGUCUCUCACUCAUGUUUUUAAGGUGAAGUCAUCUGGAAGGAAACACUCCCUCUCUCUCCAUGUCAGUCUGUGUGAAGCUCUCUCGCUCACCGCUCACGUCAGACAGGUUCUGUUCGUCGCUCUAACGUCGUUUUCAUAAAGUUUAAUUCACCUUUAUUUAUACUCUGCAGAGUCACAAUAGUCAAUUCAAUGAUACUGGGAGGAAAGCCCCUGCAGUAUCAGAGAGGAAACCCUGACAGCCAGACAGCACCUGGCAACGGUGGAGAGGAAGAACUCCCUUUUAACAGGAAGUAACCGUCUGCCAUGUGCUGUGGUCACAGCAGUUUAAGAUCAUCACAGGUGUACCCUCAGAACCCUCCCCAGUCCACAGAUGGUCUUUACUUCCUGUCCAGGACCUGCAGAGUCCUCACCUGGCCAGGUAGGCCUGCUGUCAUGUGACUGCUCAGGCAAUAUGGAGGAAACAUGUUUCCUAAAGAAACACAGAUAAACGCACUAAACAUGAUGGAGGCGCUCAAAUGAAUAUAAUGAAUGUAACGUUGUUUGUAUGUGUAACCAGCGCCACCUGGAGGAGGAGCUUUGGAAACGUUGUGGGUGCGUGAGGUCAGUGCUCUCCUGUGAUGAUGGUUAUUUUAAACAGUUUAAUGAAAUGUUUUUAUGGUGUAACAUUUUCACUGAUAAUCUUGCCUCUGUUGUCCUUUUAUGUUCUUUUGAUUCAAACAUAAUUUUGUCUUGGUGAGUCCGUUCAGCCAUGAUGGACGAAAGGUUAAGUACGAAUGAUUGGGAGGAAGUCUUGUAGGGCGGACUCACCUCUUUGUUGUUUCCUUUGUUUGUUUGAGCCACUUCCCUUUACAAACCCUGGUUACAGGUCACACACAGUGCUGAUUCCCAGACCCGAAAUGUUUGUGGCCCACAGUUGAUGAUUUACAGUGCAGGGCUAUGUGCCUGCACCUUUGGUUUGAUAUGUGCAGCUGGGACUUAGUAAAAUGUGUCUGUCUGCGAAUGAACGAUGGAAUAAAUGAAUUAAUCUCUUCUGGGCAUUUUGUUCAACGUCUCAGUGCUCAGUCACAUAUGUGACGUUAUGAUGUUGUUUCUAUGUCAUUGUGGUUCUGUAGCUGAUCUAAUCGAUUAUUUCUGUUCUAAACUCAGUUUUAAUUUCACUAAAAACCAGUUUGUCUCUAAUCAAAGACAUUACUGAGCUACAGUAACGAUGUUCACACGUACGGAGUUUCACUCAGACUGUCUUUAAUAUUCACACAAACCAACCUGAAACCACCUGUUGGUACUGGUGCUGUAAUCACUUGAUGAUGAUGAUGCCAUACUUGUGUACUGGAUGUACCUGAAAUAUUAAAUCUAAUAAUUACAAAGAAGAACCGCUCUCCUGUGUGUUGUGGUCACAACCACACGGAGCUGGGCAGUUUGAUCUGCCUAGUGCUGUCAUCACAGGUGACAUGAAGCCUGGUCAGAGCUGGAGAACCACAGAGGAAGAACUCGGAGUUCAGCUCACAAAGAGAGGAAACAGGAAGACGCUGAGUGUGUUAGAGAGAGGAAACAUCUGAUUAUCUGACGUCAGCUCAUUAAAACACAUUCACUGUGUCACCAUGAUAAUGCAGGGAGGAGUGUCAGCUGUUAUUAAAGUCAGUGUUUGUAGUCCAUCAGUGAGGAAGAGGAGGGUGAAGGAGGAAGGAGAGAGCACAGCUUCCUUUGACCGAGAAGGGUCUGGCUGGAGCCACUGUGGAGCACCAUAUUGUGACCUCCACAGUAACCGGAUACACGUGACCUCCACAGUAGCUGGAAACACGUAACCUGCAUGAAUACAGUGGAAACCUUGCAAGUGGAUCGUAAAGAUGCACAUAUCAAUUUGGAAUUCUGCCUCAAAGCCAGAAUUGCACCACGUGUUGCAGAAGACUCUUUCACUGCCCUCUGUGCCCCACUUUCAGCCCUACUGUCAGGUCAAAGAUUGAGGAGCAUAUAAAUGGACACAUUAAAAAAGCUUUGCCUUUCAAAG